UAUACAGUAUGUCCCUGUACCUUUCUAUGAAAUUAUUAUGAAUGCUGCCAUCAUCAUUUCCAGUGAACACAGAACACAACAGUGUACUAACCUGUUCUUAUAUGGGUCUUUAACUGCAGACGUAUACAGAUAACCAUUGGUUUUGGACCCAGCCACGGGGAUCUUCACCUACAACGCAGAAUAAAUUCAAGAUCAAGAUCAGUGUCACACGAGACCUCGUGGAGAACCUGGCCCACAGCUGUGCAGGAGCUUUCUAGCUCUUAUAAACGUAGAUGAAAAGAAAAGGUAUUUUUUCCAGCUGAGCUCAAGCAAAAGAGAGAUAGUUGUCCCUGGAUCACGGCAUGUGACACAACUUAUUCUGCCAUCUGCUGGUUCCCUGGUGGAAUAUACGGAGCCCGCAACAGCCCUUUUACCUUCCUCAACCAAAAAUCUAUUGAGCGACUCCAAACUGUACAAAACUCAGCUGCCACGCUUUCAACGAGAGAACCACCAGAGAGGUGACAACACACCACUCCUGUUUCAGCCUCUCGACAUUGGCUCCCAGUAUGUUUUAGAAUUGAUUUUAUGAUUUCACUGAUUACUUUUAAGGCACUUCAUGGUUUUCCUCCAUCUUAAGUAUCUGACCUGUCACUACCCACCCUCUGUAUUUACAUAAUUACAUUCUCAUGUUUUGCUUUUCUAAGUAUUUUCUUUUGACUAAGAAUGGACGAACAGUGUAACUGGGAGGGAGUGAAAAGUCCUGGACAAAGAACAAUAAACCUAGUGCUGGGAGAGAAAAAAAGAA